rnacentral:rRNA from 1 species
UACAGAGGGGGCAAGCGUUAUUCGGAAUUAUUGGGCGUAAAGGGCGCGUAGGCGGCGAUUCAAGUGACGGGUGAAAUCCCUCGGCUUAACCGAGGAACUGCCUGUCAGACUGGAUUGCUUGAGGCCGGGAGAGGUGAGUGGAAUUCCCAGUGUAGCGGUGAAAUGCGUAGAUAUUGGGAGGAACACCAGUGGCGAAGGCGGCUCACUGGACCGGUACUGACGCUGAUGCGCGAAAGCGUGGGGAGCAAACCGG